CGUGUAGGCGGUUUGGUAAGUCUGAUGUGAAAGCCCUGGGCUCAACCCGGGAAGUGCAUUGGAUACUGUCAGACUUGAAUACGGGAGAGGGCAGUGGAAUUCCUAGUGUAGGAGUGAAAUCCGUAGAUAUUAGGAGGAACACCGGUGGCGAAGGCGGCUGCCUGGACCGAUAUUGACGCUGAGACGCGAAAGCGUGGGUAGCAAACAG
rnacentral:rRNA from 1 species